rnacentral:tRNA from 1 species
GCAUCGGUAGCGCCGUAGGUAGCACGUCAGUCUCACACUCUGAUGGUCGUGAGUUCGAUCCUCACCCGGGGCA